UGAAUACGAGAUGCUACGGCGUCGAAGCAGUCUAUGUCAUACUUCCAAGAAAAGCUUGCACUGUCAUAAACAAUAAUGCCUGUACCAUAACCGACACAGGUGGGUAGGUAGAGUAUACUAAGGGGCGCGAGAUAACUCUCUCUAAGGAACUCGGCAAAAUGACUCCGUAACUUCGGGAGAAGGAGUGCCUUAUUUAUAAGGUUGCAAUAACAAGACCCAAGCAACUGUUUAUCAAAAACACAGGUCUCCGCUAAGUCGUAAGACGAUGUAUGGGGGCUGACGCCUGCCCAGUGCCAGAAGGUUAAAGAAGUUGGUUAGCAUUAGCGAAGCUGAUGACUGAAGCCCUGGUGAACGGCGGCCGUAACGAUAACGGUCCUAAGGUAGCGAAAUUCCUUGUCGGGUAAGUUCCGACCCGCACGAAAGGCGUAAUGAUUUGGGUACUGUCUCAGAGAGGGACUCGGUGAAAUAGACUUGUCUGUGAAGAUGCGGACUACCUGCACCUGGACAGAAAGACCCUAUGAAGCUUUACUGUAACCUGAAAUUGAAAUUGGACUUUAUUUGCGCAGUAUAGGUGGGAGGCUUUGAAGAUAUUCUUGCGGGAAUGUUGGAGCCAUCAGUGAGAUACCACUCUUGUAAUGUUAGAUUUCUAACUUUGUAUCAUUAUCUGGUCAAAGAACAGUUUCAGGCGGGCAGUUUGACUGGGGCGGUCGCCUCCUAAACGGUAACGGAGGCGCACAAAGGUUUCCUCUGAACGGGUAGAAAUCGUAUCUAGAGUGUAAAGGCAUAAGGAAGCUUGACUGUGAGACCUACAAGUCGAGCAGGGACGAAAGUCGGUCUUAGUGAUCUGACGGUGCUGAGUGGAAAGGCCGUCACUCAACGGAUAAAAGUUACUCUAGGGAUAACAGGCUGAUCUCCCCCAAGAGUUCACAUCGACGGGGAGGUUUGGCACCUCGAUGUCGGCUCAUCGCAUCCUGGGGCGGUAGUACGUCCCAAGGGUUGGGCUGUUCGCCCAUGAAAGCGGUACGCGAGCUGGGUUCAGAACGUCGUGAGACAGUUCGGUCCAUAUCCGGUGUAGGCGUUAGAAUAUUGAGAGGAGCCUUCUCUAGUACGAGAGGACCGAGAAGGACACACCUCUGGUGUACCAGUUAUCGUGCCAACGGUAAACGCUGGGUAGCUAUGUGUGGAGCGGAUAACCGCUGAAAGCAUCUAAGUGGGAAGCCCACCUCAAGAUAAGUAUUCUCAU
rnacentral:rRNA from 1 species